rnacentral:rRNA from 1 species
AACGAACGCUGGCGGCAUGCCUAACACAUGCAAGUCGAACGAGACCUUCGGGUCUAGUGGCGCACGGGUGCGUAACGGGUGGGAACCUGCCCUCAGGUUCGGCAUAACUCCCCGAAAGGGGUGCCAACACCGGAUAAUGUCUUCGGGCCAAAGACUUAUCGCACUUGGAUGGGCCCGCGUUGGAUUAGCUAGUUGGUAGGGUAAAAGCCUACCAAGGCGACGAUCCAUAGCUGGUCUGAGAGGAUGGGCAGCCACACUGGGACUGAGACACGGCCCAGACUCCUACGGGAGGCGGCAGUGGGGAAUAUUGGACAGUGGGCGGAAGCCUGAUCCAGCAAUGCCGCGUGAGUGAUGAAGGCCUUAGGGUUGUAAAGCUCUUUUACCCGGGAUGAUAAUGACAGUACCGGGAGAAUAAGCUCCGGCUAACUCCGUG